rnacentral:rRNA from 1 species
GAUGAACGCUGACAGAAUGCUUAACACAUCAGCAAUUGAUUGGUGGCGGACGGGUGAGUAACGCGUAAAGAACUUGCCUCCCAGGUAGGGACAACAUUUGGAAACGAAUGCGAAUACCUAAUACUGUGGAAGAGCUUUGCGACCCAGUAGCUGGUUGGAGAGGUAACGGCUCACCAAGGCGAUGAUGGGUAGCCGGCCUGAGAGGGGGAUCGGCCCGAAGGGUACUUAGACACGGCCCUUACGCCUACGGGAGGCAGCAGUGGGGAAUAUUGGACAAUGGACCAAAGUCUGAUCCAGCAAUUCGGUUUGCACGAUGAAGUUUUCGGAAUGUAAAGUGCUUUCAGUUGGGAAGCGGUACCAACAGAAGAAGUGACUGCUAAAUACGUGCCAGCAGCCGCGGUAAUUC